AGCUUCUUCCUUUUACUUCUUGUGUUGCCACAAAGCGGAAGUCUGGCAUAUUUCCUUGGAAAUUUAUGAGAGCACAGCAGACAUUUGUUUGCAAAACCUUAUUGAAAUGUAUUUCUCAAAUUUUCCAGAGAUUACUUCAAGCUCAACUACUACUACCGCCUCCAACCUUAAUAACUUCUGCUACCACUGCUGCCACUUUGAAUUUUCUUUAUGG